AGAGCGAACGCUGGCGGCAGGCUUAACACAUGCAAGUCGAACGGAUCCUUCGGGAUUAGUGGCGGACGGGUGAGUAACACGUGGGAACGUGCCUUUGGUUCGGAACAACUCAGGGAAACUUGAGCUAAUACCGGAUGUGCCCUUCGGGGGAAAGAUUUAUUGCCGAAGGAACGGCCCGCGUCCGAUUAGCUAGUUGGUGAGGUAAUGGCUCACCAAGGCUACGAUCGGUAGCUGGUCUGAGAGGAUGACCAGCAUCACUGGGACUGAGACACGGCCCAGACUCCUACGGGAGGCAGCAGUGGGGAAUAUUGGACAAUGGGCGCAAGCCUGAUCCAGCCAUGCCGCGUGGAUGAUGAAGGCCUUAGGGUUGUAAAGUCCUUUUAACGGGAAGAUAAUGACGGUACCCGUAGAAUAAGCCCGGCUAACUUCGUGCCAGCAGCCGC
rnacentral:rRNA from 1 species